rnacentral:lncRNA from 1 species
CCUCAUAAUCCUCAAUUAUCUCAUUCGCGACACUUUCUAACAAAAGAGGAGGGUCACCAGCGAAGUUGAGAUUGAGCUUUUGCUAAGGUUGAAGAGCUUGAAAUAGUAGACUAAAUCCACCAUCUCCAAGCCCACCUACUUGUCUUGCAGGACGAUGAACUCUUUUGAUGAACUAUAUUUGUCUGACCGCUUCCCUCGCAGCAUUCUGAAGUUCAGCAACCUUGGACCUCUUGGCCUCCUCCAAGACUACUUGCACUACCUCCUUCAUUGCCUCGGCCUUCCUGGCAGUCUGCACUGUCGCCUCAUCUCGGCAAGCUUGUCC